rnacentral:rRNA from 1 species
UACGAAGGUGGCAAGCGUUGUUCGGAUUUACUGGGCGUACAGGGAGCGUAGGCGGUUGGAUAAGCCCUCCGUGAAAUCUCCAGGCUUAACCUGGAAAGUGCAGAGGGGACUGUUCAGCUAGAGGAUGGGAGAGGAGCGCGGAAUUCCCGGUGUAGCGGUGAAAUGCGUAGAGAUCGGGAGGAAGGCCGGUGGCGAAGGCGGCGCUCUGGAACAUUUCUGACGCUGAGGCUCGAAAGCGUGGGGAGCAGACAGG